rnacentral:rRNA from 1 species
UACGUAGGGUGCGAGCGUUAAUCGGAAUUACUGGGCGUAAAGCGUGCGCAGGCGGUGCGCCAAGCUCGAUGUGAAAGCCCCGGGCUUAACCUGGGAAUUGCAUUGAGGACUGGCGUGCUCGAGUGCGGCAGAGGGGGGUGGAAUUCCACGUGUAGCAGUGAAAUGCGUAGAGAUGUGGAGGAACACCGAUGGCGAAGGCAGCCCCCUGGGCCGACACUGACGCUCAUGCACGGAAGCGUGGGGAGCAAACAGG